GCCUUCAUGGUGUAGUGGAUGGUCAGCACGCUCGGUGCGUAUUCAAGAGGUCCGUGGUUCGAGUCCCGGUGAGAGCA
rnacentral:tRNA from 1 species